rnacentral:rRNA from 1 species
UGGGGAAUCUUGCACAAUGGGGGCAACCCUGAUGCAGCGACGCCGCGUGAGCGAUGAAGCCCUUCGGGGCGUAAAGCUCUUUCGACCGGAACGAUAAUGACGGUACCGGGAGAAGAAGCUGCGGCUAACUACGUGCCAGCAGCCGCGGUAAUACGUAGGCAGCAAGCGUUGUUCGGAGUUACUGGGCGUAAAGAGUGCGUAGGCGGUUUUCUAAGUUCGGCGUGAAAUCUCCCGGCUUAACUGGGAGGGUGCGCCGAAGACUGGGAAGCUGGAGUGUGGGAAAGGCAGGCGGAAUUCCUGGUGUAGCGGUGAAAUGCGUAGAUAUCAGGAGGAACACCGGCGGUGUAGACGGCUUGCUAAACCAUAACUGACGCUGAGGCACGAAAGCGUGGGUAGCAAACA